ACUUCACUAACAACUUAUAUUGUUGUUGAAUUAAUAGCAGGUUGUUGGUUAAGCUGGGGCGGCAAAUAUAUAAACAAUAUUAAUUUAAAUAUUUAAAAUAGAAAAUUAGAACUUAAGUUAAAAUUUUAAACAAGU
rnacentral:rRNA from 1 species